GCUGGGAUUACAGGCGUGAGCCACCGCGCCCGGCCCCUAAUAUGCUUUUAAUUUUUUUUUAAAUGUCUCCAGAAGUCAGCGGGUGUCAACUGCAUACGAGCUUCCCAAAGACUCAAAACUCAGUUUAAAAAAAAAAUCAACUCCUUAGCCAAAGACGUGGCAACUGCGGGUGAAGUAUCUCUGGGCAGGAAAUCAAUGCAGAAAUGCAACUGGGGAGAGGGGGCUUGGGGGCCAGUUCCAGGGAGAUUGGAACUGCUGUGUUCUCAUCAGCAGAAGUGGCCCCUGCCCACCCCCAUCCUAAUCCCUUCUCAUGUGGGAGAAGGUCUGUGAGCCCUCUCCCUACCAGGCAGGUUCUAUGGCAAUGUGGGCACAUACCCUGGGGCAGGGGCCGAGGGACUUAACUCACUUCAUGAGCGCCAAUGGAGGAGCGAAGGGAAUGCCUGAUGAAAACAACAUUCUACCAGUAUGCACUGUUUUCUAACCUACAGAGUGCCUCUGUGUUCACUGUCCCAUUUGAGAAUUCUAAGUAGAAUUCUGAACAGGCUGGAGCAGAUUGCCCACCCCAAGGGACAGAUGUUGGCUGGUACUGUUGGUAUUCAUGGAAGAUUCCUUCUGACACUCCCUCCUUCUUUGUAAUUGCCAUGAACUGGAGCACUGGGCCAAUAUAAAUCAUCCAAGGGUGAACACGCUGCACAUGGACGGCUCCUCUUUGUUUUUGAAGGGAUUCCAUCUCUAUUUUGCCAUGUGCUCCUUCACCCCACUCCCCACCCCCGUCUUUCAUUUCUUUCUCUGGAAAAGAUACUUCAACUCACAGGACUGCGAUGUUGAAACGGACACCCAAGAGCAUCACAGAUGGGCCAGGCCUGGACCUCUCGGGACAACAUUCCUCACGACUUUUAGAUAGAAGAGAUUAGAGAUUUGGGACUGGUGGCAACUGGUAACGUUUUCAGUGUUUGGUAAACAGCCAGGGUCCGGAGCUCUGGGAACAGCCUGAUUUAGCUCUUUGUUUAAGUUUUGUGUUAGAGGCUCCCAAGAAGCUGAUGCAGGGGAAAGAAAUUAACAACCAUGGCUCAUUCACAGCCAGGCAGCCAAAUGGACAGCUCUAUAAGACUCAAGCCGACAGCGGAGAGAGUGCAACCAAACAGCCUUGGCCCAGCUUUCAGAGGAGAACGUUAUUCACCCCAACUGCUCUGCAUCUGCCUGGAUGUCUGCCAAGAUCUGUGAGCAUUACAGCGUUGGUAUGCUUUGGGUGAGGCCUGUGGCUAUGGCAACAAGUUGGGAGCAACCCGGUCCCUGGGAAUGAGAACAGUGUCUAAAAUCAGGCAGGCGAGGGGCAGGGAGGAGAGGUAAAGGUUGGACUUGCCUGAAGAUGGAGCCGUUUUAUUGUUGUGGGUAAAGCUGCUACCAUUAGGGGCUGUUUACAGAGUGGGUGCAGCUCAAGCUGGGAGCAUGUUAGACUCAGCGACUACGAUCAACCUAUUGACUUGUUCCCAUGAGACAGAGUAAAUUAACUGUUGCAGUACUGGUCAUGUACCACCAACCUCCUGUGAACCAGCCCUCAGUGAAACAUUUAUGUGAAAGGCCAUGGUGUUCCCAUAAGAGGGUGCAUGUUCUCUCCCUUGACUAACUCUUCAGUAUGCCUCAUUCUCACGCGCUGGUGUGCAGGAAGGAGUCCAACAUGCCCCAUUGACAGUCAUGCCCUGUAUGUGGAAAGUCUUCAGGUAGAGCACUGGGCUCAGGUUUGAAGAUGUGAGUUCUAAUCCUAGCAAGGCCAUUACCUCCCAGUGACCUCAUGUCUCGAUUUCCUCAACCACAAAACAAAGGCAUUGGUGAGCUGACCUCUAAGGCCUCUCCAGUUCUCACCUUCUGUGUCUCUACAGACUGGAGACUAGAAGAUUAUGGGCACUUUUAUUGAGUCUUCAUUUUGUUUCCAUUUCUUUGUAGUCAUCAGCUGGAGUUGAGGACAAGUUUUAACAAUAGAUAGGUUUCUUUUUGUCUCUUUUUAAAAAAUUUUAUUUAAAAUAAAUGCCAAGUGUAGUGGCUCAUACCUGUAAUCCCAGCACUUUGGGGAGGCCAAGGUGGGAGGAUUGCUUUUGAGUUUGAGACCAGCCUGGGCAACGUGGUGAGACCCUGUUUGUACAAAAAAUUUUAAAUUAGCCAGGCAUGGUGGCGUGUGCCUAUAGUCCUAGCUACUCUGGAGGUAGAGGCAGGAGGAUCCCUUGAACCUGGGAGGUUGAGGCCACAGUGAGCUGUGAUUGUGCUAUUGAACUCUAGCCUGGGCAACAGAGCAAGACCCUGUCUCUUAAAAAAGACUAUUUUUUAAGAACACUUUUAGGUUCACAGCGAAAUUUGGAGGAAACUUGGCAUAUGUCAUAUGCCCCCUGCUCCCAUGCAUGCACAGCCUCUACCAUUAGCAAUGUCCCCACUCAAAUGGUACCUUUGUUGUAAUCAACAACCCUGUACUGACACAUCAUCAUCACCCAAACUCCAUAGUUCACAUUAGGUUUCACUCUUGGUGUGGUGUACAUUCCAUGGGCUUGAACAACUGUAUAAUGACAUUAUCCACCACUGCAGGAUCAUACAGAGUAGUCUCACUGCCCUAAAACUACUCUGUGCUCCACCUGUUUGUCCCUUCUUUCACUCUAAACUCCUGGCAACAACUGACCUUUUUACUGCCUCGAUAGCUUUGCCUUCUUCGGAAUGUCAUGUAGUUGAAAUCAUACAUCAUGAAGCCUUUUCAGAUUGGCUUCAUAUAGGUUUCCUUCCUUCCUUCCUCCCACCACCUUCCUUUCUUUCUGUAUUCCUAACUCUUGGAUGUAUUUUCCCCAGCAUCAUGACUUGAUGGGACUUUUGCUAAGAUAGGCAAUCAUAGAAAGUCAUAAAUCUCUUGUCAGCCUUAUUGGCUCACCUCCGAGAUGGUUCCAACACUCUUUAAGGCCCACUUUUCCAAUCCACAGAUUCCCCAGCAGAAGUCCAAGCUGCUGAGCCUCACAUCAUCUUUUGCACUAGUAAUCUUUACCACUACUUCACUGUAGCAUUUGAAAAUUUUCAUAUGAAGCCAUAGUUCUGUGUCUUUUUUUUUUUUUUUUUUUUUUUGGAGACGGAGUCUUAACCUGUUGCCCAGGCUGGAGUGCAGUGGCACAGUCUUAGCUCACUGCAAGCUCCGCCUCACGGGUUCAAGUGAUUCUUGCCUCAGCCUCCCAAGUAGCUGGGAUUACAGGCGCGCCACCAUGCCCAGCUAAAUUUGUUGGCAUUUUUAGUAGAGAUGGGGUUUCACCAUGUUGGCCAGGCUGGUCUCAAACUCCUUACCUCAGGUGAUCUGCCUGCCUCAGCCUCCCAAAGUGCUGGGAUUAAAGGUGUGAGCCACCGCACCUGGCCUGAAGCCAUAGUUCUUAACCUCAGUUGUGCAAUAGAAUUAUCUGGGGAAUUUAAAAAUUAGAAAAAACCCAUGCCCUGAAGAUUGUGAUCUAACUGGUCUUGCGUAGCGCCUGGGCAUUGGUAUUUUUUAAAUGUUUCCCAACUGAUACUAAUGUGGCCAUUCUGCAAGCCACAGUUGAAAGGCUUAUUCAAGCAUCCUGUUGCUGAAUGCAUGUCGUCCUUACCACAUGACUCUGGAGGUUUUCUUGUAUUCUGAUGUGGCUGCCCUGUUGAGGCCUGCCCCUUAGAGUGGAGAUUAUCCCCUGCAGUAGGCUGCCUGGAAUAUGAUCCCCAGUGAUCCCUGCUUCCUGGUAUUCAGGCCCUGGUGUGAUCCCUUUCCCUUGAAGCCUGGGCUGGAUUAGUGACUUGCUUCUAACCAACAGCAUAUGGCAAAAAUAAAUGUUUAUUGUUUUAAA
rnacentral:lncRNA from 1 species